AGAAUCAACGCUGGCGGCGUGCCUAACACAUGCAAGUCGAACGAGAAAGGGACUUCGGUCCUGAGUAUAGUGGCGCACGGGUGAGUAACACGUGAAUAAUCUACCUCCGAGUGGGGAAUAACCAAGAGAAAUCUUGGCUAAUACCGCAUAACACUUACGAGUCAAAGCAGCAAUGCGCUUGGAGAGGAGUUCGCGGCAGAUUAGUUAGUUGGCGGGGUAAUGGCCCACCAAGACUGUGAUCGGUA
rnacentral:rRNA from 1 species